rnacentral:rRNA from 1 species
AUAGAGUUUGAUCCUGGCUCAGGACGAACGCUGGCGGCGUGCCUAAUACAUGCAAGUCGAGCGGAGAUUUGAAAAGCUUGCUUUUCAAAUCUUAGCGGCGGACGGGUGAGUAACACGUGGGCAACCUGCCCUUGAGACGGGGAUAACUCCGGGAAACCGGAGCUAAUACCGGAUAACACAUAUCUUCGCAUGAUGAUAUGUUAGAAGGUGGCUUUUAGCUACCACUCAAGGAUGGGCCCGCGGCGCAUUAGCUAGUUGGUGAGGUAACGGCUCACCAAGGCGACGAUGCGUAGCCGACCUGAGAGGGUGAUCGGCCACACUGGGACUGAGACACGGCCCAGACUCCUACGGGAGGCAGCAGUAGGGAAUCUUCCGCAAUGGACGAAAGUCUGACGGAGCAACGCCGCGUGAGUGAUGAAGGUUUUCGGAUCGUAAAGCUCUGUUGUUAGGGAAGAACAAGUAUCUGUUGAAUAAGCAGGUACCUUGACGGUACCUAACCAGAAAGCCACGGCUAACUACGUGCCAGCAGCCGCGGUAAUACGUAGGUGGCAAGCGUUGUCCGGAAUUAUUGGGCGUAAAGCGCGCGCAGGCGGUUCCUUAAGUCUGAUGUGAAAGCCCACGGCUCAACCGUGGAGGGUCAUUGGAAACUGGGGAACUUGAGUGCAGAAGAGGAGAGCGGAAUUCCACGUGUAGCGGUGAAAUGCGUAGAGAUGUGGAGGAACACCAGUGGCGAAGGCGGCUCUCUGGUCUGUAACUGACGCUGAGGCGCGAAAGCGUGGGGAGCGAACAGGAUUAGAUACCCUGGUAGUCCACGCCGUAAACGAUGAGUGCUAAGUGUUAGAGGGUUUCCGCCCUUUAGUGCUGCAGCAAACGCAUUAAGCACUCCGCCU